CUAACCUAAUCUAUCUUUGUUGUUUAUCAUUAUCUGUUUUUUUCCAUUAGUUAUCAAAUCUCCUGUUUCUCUUUCUCAUUCUAGUGUUAACAGGUAUAUGUUUUCUAAUAUUAACUUAACUGUGUAUGUGUUGAUAAAAAAAAAAAAAGUACUUAUUCUCUCUUUACUUCAUGUCUGUAAAUACACUGACUCCUGGCCCAGCAUCUCUUCACCUCACCCACUAAACACAUUCACUUCUCUCUCUUCCAGGUUUCCAAGACUCGAUUCUGGAUUGCCGCAGAUGUGACUCUCCCCAGACAGUCCACCCUGAGUGUUUCCCCAUAGCCAUUCCUCAGAACGAUCCAUUUUUCCCUCCUGUCAAUAUAUCAUCUGGCCAGCCAUUCUGCAUCCCCCUGACCCGCUCCAUGCCAGGCCAGCUGACUCUAGGCUACCGGGAGCAAAUGAACCAAGUGACUGCCUUCAUCGACGCCUCUCACACCUAUGGCUCAGACAAGUGUGAGCAGCAGCAACUGAGGACCAAGUCAGACGGCAUGCUACGAGGCACACCCAACCCCCUGUGAGGCAAAGACCUGCUGCCCACUGAGAAUGAGAACCAUGAGUGUCAGGCUCCCUCUGGCCGGUGCUUCACUGGAGGAGACACCCGGGCCUCAGAGCAGCCUGGCUUGGCUGCGCUACACACUCUGAUGAUGCGUGAACACAACAGAGUGGCCGGGGAACUGAAGCGCCUCAACAAACACUGGAAUGAUGAGCAGCUCUUCCAAAAUGCCCGGCGUAUCGUGACGGCCAUCAACCAGCAUGUCACGUACAAUGAGUGGCUGCCAAGGGUGCUGGGGUGGAACGCUGUUAAUCUGUAUGAGCUUAACUUGCUGCCUGAGGGCUAUUCUGAAGGUAGGUUAAUGUGUGUGUGUGUGUGUGUGUGUGUGUGUGUGUGUGUGUGUGUGUGUGUGUGUGUGUGUGUGUGUGUGUGUGUGUGUGUGUGUGUGUAUGUGUGCAACAUUUCCCUCUAACACACUGCACUCCUAAUGACUAUCUCUCUCUCUCUCUCUCUCUCUC